rnacentral:rRNA from 1 species
CGAACGAUGAAGCUCUAGCUUGCUAGAGUGGAUUAGUGGCGCACGGGUGAGCAAUGCAUAGAUAACAUGCCCUUUAGUCUAGGAUAGCCAUUGGAAACGAUGAUUAAUACUGGAUACUCCUUACGAGGGAAAGUUUUUCGCUAAAGGAUUGGUCUAUGUCCUAUCAGCUUGUUGGUGAGGUAAUGGCUCACCAAGGCUAUGACGGGUAUCCGGCCUGAGAGGGUGAACGGACACACUGGAACUGAGACACGGUCCAGACUCCUACGGGAGGCAGCAGUAGGGAAUAUUGCUCAAUGGGGGAAACCCUGAAGCAGCAACGCCGCGUGGAGGAUGAAGGUUUUCGGAUUGUAAACUCCUUUUGUUAGAGAAGAUAAUGACGGUAUCUAACGAAUAAGCACCGGCUAACUCCGUGCCAGCAGCCGCGGUAAUACGGAGGGUGCAAGCGUUACUCGGAAUCACUGGGCGUAAAGAGCGCGUAGGCGGGAUAGCAAGUCAGAUGUGAAAUCCUAUGGCUUAACCAUAGAACUGCAUUUGAAACUGUUAUUCUAGAGUAUGGGAGAGGUAGGUGGAAUUCUUGGUGUAGGGGUAAAAUCCG